UACGGAGGGUGCGAACGUUUAAUCGGAAUUACUGGGCGUAAAGCGCGCGUAGGCGGUUCGGUAAGUGGGAUGUGAAAGCCCUGGGCUCAACCUGGGAACUGCAUUCCAAACUGCCGAGCUAGAGUGUGGUAGAGGGAGGUAGAAUUUCCUGUGUAGCGGUGAAAUGCGUAGAUAUAGGAAGGAAUACCAGUGGCGAAGGCGGCCUUCUGGAUCAACACUGACGCUGAGGUGCGAAAGCGUGGGGAGCAAACAGG
rnacentral:rRNA from 1 species